rnacentral:misc_RNA from 1 species
AACGCACAUUGCGCCCCUUGGUAUUCCGAGGGGCAUGCCUGUUCGAGCGUCAUCUAAACCCUCAAGCGCCGCUUGGUCUUGGGCGAGGCCCGCGAGGGCCCUCCCGCAACCCGUUGGGCGGCGCCGCCCGGCCCCGAGCGUAGCAAGUCUCCUCGCUACGGACGCCGGCCGGUGCCGCCCGGGAACACGACCCAGAGUUUGACCUCGGAUCAGGUAGGGAUACCCGCUGAACUUAA